AUUGAACGCUGGCGGCAGGCCUAACACAUGCAAGUCGAGCGGAGCGGCGGACGGGUGAGUAAUGCCUAGGAAUCUACCUGGUAGUGGGGGAUAACGUCCGGCAACGGGCGCUAAUACCGCAUACUAUCAGAUGAGCCUAGGUCGGAUUAGCUAGUUGGUGGGGUAAAGGCCUACCAAGGCGACGGUCCGUAACUGGUCUGAGAGGUGGAUCAGUCAAACUGGAACUGAGAAAAGGUCCAGAAUCCUAAGGGAGGCAGCAGUGGGGAAUAUUGGACAAUGGGCGAAAGCCUGAUCCAGCAAUGCCGCGUGUGUGAAGAAGGUCUUCGGAUUGUAAAGCACUUUAAGUUGGGAGGCGUUACCAAAAGAAUAAGCACCGGCUAACUACGUGCCAGCAGCCGCGGUAAUAC
rnacentral:rRNA from 1 species